CCCCACAGCACGGGCCUGGGCCGGGCCCGGCGCUCCUGCUUUCCCCCUCCAGGCCCCGCCUUCCACCUUCGGGCCCGACUCCGAGCCGGCAGCCCCCCAGGGAGGGCCAAAAGCCCCUCCCCAGUACCGUGGCCGUCCCCUUCUCCCCGCCCUGCUAGAAGCAGCUGUGCAGCACGGAUCCAUCCAACCUGGUGCUGCUCCCCCGGUCUUGGGGGGCGCACGGGGCAGCACGGCGGGGGGCUGCGGUGCAGCGUGGGGUGUGCAGGCAGAGGGUUUGCCUCCUGCUUGAGGAGAAAUGCCUUGUCAGUGGAAGCAAACUUCCUGUGCUUCUGGACAACGGCCAGAGCUCUGAUGGAAAACUGGCCAAAAUGUGUGUUUUCCUUGUGAAUAUUCCCUCCCUCUGAGCUGCUGGCAGCCCGGCCAUGUCACCGAACCACCUCCUCGUCCUCAGUGCCAUCACGUCCUCCUCUCCAUGGCUGGGAUGUCCCACGGUCCCUGGUGCUGCCCUCACCCAUCACCGCAGCCCUGGCUUGGCAGCUUCUUGCUCUGAGCCUCAGGCCUGGUAAAGGUGGCUUUAUCUGGCUGCAUCCUUUCCAUCUCGCAGCAAAGCCCAAAAAGCAAAGAGUUGUGAUACAGCAGAGGUCGGCAGGAGCUGCCCCUGCCUUUCAGAAGGAGGAGACCCUCUGCUGCCAGCAGGGAAAUCUCUUCUGUCCUGUUGUGGAUAAGAAUGAUUCACCCAGCGUAAACCAGCACUGCACCCUGUUAAGGGGUGAAAUCAGCCUCCCGAACCUGUGGUGUAUCCUCUGUGAUGCUGCUGUGGUCCCACCACAUCCCCUCCCCAGGGUCUGGUUUGGGGUUCACAGGUGUCAGUGAGAGCCCCAACAGCUCUGCUGGCUCCGAAGACUGGCGCAGAGCCGAACCACGGGUGGGGAGCAGAGCACAGCAGGGACAAAAGGCAGCGGGUGGAUGAAAAGCCCUCUUGGGAGCACCGAUGUGCCAUUCUCUGGGGCUGGCCUCCUGCCUGGACUCUGUCCUCAUGGUGUCACCAGUUCUCCCACAAAGAAAAGGGACAGGCAGUGAGGUUGGCAGCAUGCAGCAUCCCACCCUAUGGCACGGCACAGCGAGGACAGCCAGACCCCAGGUGACCGUAACCCAGCCUCAAAUGAUGUCUCUGGGUGCCCACUCACUCCCAAAUC
rnacentral:lncRNA from 1 species